AGUUUGAUCCUGGCUCAGGAUGAACGCUAGCUACAGGCUUAACACAUGCAAGUCGAGGGGAAACGAUAGAGAAAGCUUGCUUUUUCUAGGCGUCGACCGGCGCACGGGUGAGUAACGCGUAUCCAACCUGCCCAUCACUUGGGGAUAACCUUGCGAAAGUAAGACUAAUACCCAAUGAUAUCUCAAGAAGACAUCUGAAUGAGAUUAAAGAUUUAUCGGUGAUGGAUGGGGAUGCGUCUGAUUAGCUUGUUGGCGGGGUAACGGCCCACCAAGGCUACGAUCAGUAGGGGUUCUGAGAGGAAGGUCCCCCACAUUGGAACUGAGACACGGUCCAAACUCCUACGGGAGGCAGCAGUGAGGAAUAUUGGUCAAUGGGCGAGAGCCUGAACCAGCCAAGUAGCGUGCAGGAUGACGGCCCUAUGGGUUGUAAACUGCUUUUAUAAGGGAAUAAAGUGAGCCUCGUGAGGCUUUUUGCAUGUACCUUAUGAAUAAGGACCGGCUAAUUCCGUGCCAGCAGCCGCGGUAAUACGGAAGGUCCGGGCGUUAUCCGGAUUUAUUGGGUUUAAAGGGAGCGUAGGCCGGAGAUUAAGCGUGUUGUGAAAUGUAGAUGCUCAACAUCUGCACUGCAGCGCGAACUGGUUUCCUUGAGUACGCACAAAGUGGGCGGAAUUCGUGGUGUAGCGGUGAAAUGCUUAGAUAUCGCGAAGAACUCCGAUUGCGAAGGCAGCUCACUGGAGCGCAACUGACGCUGAAGCUCGAAAGUGCGGGUAUCGAACAGGAUUAGAUACCCUGGUAGUCCGCACGGUAAACGAUGGAUGCCCGCUGUUGGUCUGAAUAGGUCAGCGGCCAAGCGAAAGCAUUAAGCAUCCCACCUGGGGAGUACGCCGGCAACGGUGAAACUCAAAGGAAUUGACGGAA
rnacentral:rRNA from 1 species